rnacentral:rRNA from 1 species
AUGUUGGCCGGGCGACGGUUGUCCCGGUUUAAGCGUGUAGGCUGGUUUUCCAGGCAAAUCCGGAAAAUCAAGGCUGAGGCGUGAUGACGAGGCACUACGGUGCUGAAGCAACAAAUGCCCUGCUUCCAGGAAAAGCCUCUAAGCAUCAGGUAACAUCAAAUCGUACCCCAAACCGACACAGGUGGUCAGGUAGAGAAUACCAAGGCGCUUGAGAGAACUCGGGUGAAGGAACUAGGCAAAAUGGUGCCGUAACUUCGGGAGAAGGCACGCUGAUAUGUAGGUGAAGUCCCUCGCGGAUGGAGCUGAAAUCAGUCGAAGAUACCAGCUGGCUGCAACUGUUUAUUAAAAACACAGCACUGUGCAAACACGAAAGUGGACGUAUACGGUGUGACGCCUGCCCGGUGCCGGAAGGUUAAUUGAUGGGGUCAGCGCAAGCGAAGCUCUUGAUCGAAGCCCCGGUAAACGGCGGCCGUAACUAUAACGGUCCUAAGGUAGCGAAAUUCCUUGUCGGGUAAGUUCCGACCUGCACGAAUGGCGUAAUGAUGGCCAGGCUGUCUCCACCCGAGACUCAGUGAAAUUGAACUCGCUGUGAAGAUGCAGUGUACCCGCGGCAAGACGGAAAGACCCCGUGAACCUUUACUAUAGCUUGACACUGAACAUUGAGCCUUGAUGUGUAGGAUAGGUGGGAGGCUUUGAAGUGUGGACGCCAGUCUGCAUGGAGCCGACCUUGAAAUACCACCCUUUAAUGUUUGAUGUUCUAACGUGGACCCGUGAUCCGGGUUGCGGACAGUGUCUGGUGGGUAGUUUGACUGGGGCGGUCUCCUCCUAAAGAGUAACGGAGGAGCACGAAGGUUGGCUAAUCCUGGUCGGACAUCAGGAGGUUAGUGCAAUGGCAUAAGCCAGCUUGACUGCGAGCGUGACGGCGCGAGCAGGUGCGAAAGCAGGUCAUAGUGAUCCGGUGGUUCUGAAUGGAAGGGCCAUCGCUCAACGGAUAAAAGGUACUCCGGGGAUAACAGGCUGAUACCGCCCAAGAGUUCAUAUCGACGGCGGUGUUUGGCACCUCGAUGUCGGCUCAUCACAUCCUGGGGCUGAAGUAGGUCCCAAGGGUAUGGCUGUUCGCCAUUUAAAGUGGUACGCGAGCUGGGUUUAGAACGUCGUGAGACAGUUCGGUCCCUAUCUGCCGUGGGCGCUGGAGAACUGAGGGGGGCUGCUCCUAGUACGAGAGGACCGGAGUGGACGCAUCACUGGUGUUCGGGUUGUCAUGCCAAUGGCACUGCCCGGUAGCUAAAUGCGGAAGAGAUAAGUGCUGAAAGCAUCUAAGCACGAAACUUGCCCCGAGAUGAGUUCUCCCUGACCCUUUAAGGGUCCUGAAGGAACGUUGAAGACGACGACGUUGAUAGGCCGGGUGUGUAAGCGCAGCGAUGCGUUGAGCUAACCGGUACUAAUGAACCGUGAGGCUUAACCUUACAACGCCGAAGGUGUUU